AUUGAACGCUGGCGGCAUGCCUUACACAUGCAAGUCGAACGGUAACAGGUCUUCGGAUGCUGACGAGUGGCGAACGGGUGAGUAAUACAUCGGAACGUGCCCGAUCGUGGGGGAUAACGGAGCGAAAGCUUUGCUAAUACCGCAUACGAUCUACGGAUGAAAGCAGGGGACCGCAAGGCCUUGCGCGGACGGAGCGGCCGAUGGCAGAUUAGGUAGUUGGUGGGAUAAAAGCUUACCAAGACGACGAUCUGUAGCUGGUCUGAGAGGACGACCAGCCACACUGGGACUGAGACACGGCCCAGACUCCUACGGGAGGCAGCAGUGGGGAAUUUUGGACAAUGGGCGAAAGCCUGAUCCAGCCAUGCCGCGUGCAGGAUGAAGGCCUUCGGGUUGUAAACUGCUUUUGUACGGAACGAAAAGACUCCUUCUAAUAAAGGGGGUCCAUGACGGUACCGUGAGAAUAAGCACCGGCUAACUACGUGCCAGCAGCCGCGGUAACAC
rnacentral:rRNA from 1 species